GCUGGGCAUAGUGGCAUAUGCCUGUAAUCCCAGUUACUCAGGAGGCUGAGGCAGGAGGAUUGCAAGUUUGAGGCCAGCAACUUAGACCCUGUCUCAA
rnacentral:sRNA from 1 species